rnacentral:rRNA from 1 species
CCUACGGGAGGCAGCAGUGAGGAAUAUUGGUCAAUGGACGGAAGCCUGAACCAGCCAUGCCGCGUGCAGGAAGACGGCCCUAUGAGUUGUAAACCGCUUUUGUCGGAGAACAAUAGCCCUUACGAGUAGGGAUCUGAAUGUAUCGUACGAAUAAGCAUCGGCUAACUCCGUGCCAGCAGCCGCGGUAAUACGGAGGAUUCGAGCGUUAUCCGGAUUUAUUGGGUUUAAAGGGUGCGUAGGCUGUCGGUUAAGUUAGGGGUCAAAUGUCGGGGCUUAACCCCGUGCCAGCCGUUGAUACUGGUCGACUAGAGAGCGGGAGCAGCAGGCGGAAUGAGUGGUGUAGCGGUGAAAUGCAUAGAUAUUGCGCAGAACACCGAUUGCGCAGGCAGCUUACUGGUCC